rnacentral:rRNA from 1 species
GUCUACAGCCAUGCCACCCUGAACAAGCCCGAUCCCGUCUGAUCUCGGAACCUAAGCAGAGUCGGGCCUGGUUAGUACUUGGUUGGAAGACCACCUAGGAAGACCAGGUGCUAUAAGCA